CGGCGGACGGGUGAGUAAUGUCUGGGAAACUGCCUGAUGGAGGGGGGUAACUACUGGAAACGGUAGCUAAUACCGCAUAACGUCGCAAGACCAAAGAGGGGGACCUUAGGGCCUCUUGCCAUCGGAUGUGCCCAUAUGGGAUUAGCUUGUAGGUAAGGUAACGGCUUACCUAGGCGACGAUCCCUAGCUGGUCUGAGAGGAUGAUCAGCCACACUGGGACUGAGACACGGCCCAG
rnacentral:rRNA from 1 species